AGCAAACAUAAAAAUAAAAGUGAAAGAACAGAAAAAAAGACUCAAUUUUACUAGUGCUAUGUGUCUGGCACUGCACUGGGUUAUGCAACAGGAUCAGCAUUUCCUCAUCGUUUCACUGCUGCAACUGAUAGCAGAAUUUGGCUUGGCCCUGGAAACCAGGACAGUGUGACAGCACAGUGUAGGAUUGUUGUCAGAAAAGAUGCUGAAGAGAGACUUCUGAGAAAAACAUAAGAGGACACAAUGCUUGGAGAUUUAAGGAUGAUGGUAUAACAGCAUUUCAAUGUUUAAUGAAAGCACUGUCUGUCUAUUGCAGAAUAAGUGGAAAUAUGACUGCAUGGGCUUGAUCUUGUA
rnacentral:lncRNA from 1 species